rnacentral:ncRNA from 1 species
GGUAGUAGCAAAAAUUCAAAGGAGAACUUUGAAGGCUGAAGUGGAAAAGGGUUCCAUGUGAACAGCAGUUGAACAUGGGUCAGUUUGUCCUGAGAGAUGGGCGAGCGCCGUUCCGAAGGGACGGGCGAUGGCCUCCGUUGCCCUCAGCUCAUCGAAAGGGAGUCAGGUUCAGAUCCCCGAAUCCGGAGUGGCGGAGACGGGUGCUGCGAGGCGUCCAGUGUGGUAACGCAACCGAUCCCGGAGAAGCCGGCGGGAGCCCCGGGGAGAGUUCUCUUUUCUUUGUGAAGGGCAGGGCGCCCUGGAAUGGGUUCGCCCCGAGAGAGGGACCCGUGCCUCGGAAAGCGUCGCGGUUCCGGCGGUGUCCAGUGAGCUCUCGCUGGCCCUUGAAAAUCCGGGGGAGAGGGUGUAAAUCCCUCCCCGGGCCGUACCCAUAUCCGCAGCAGGUCUCCAAGGUGAACAGCCUCUGGCA